rnacentral:tRNA from 1 species
CAAAGUAUAGCUUAAUUAAAGCAUCUCGCUUACACCGAGAAGAUAUCUGUGAAACCCAGACUAUUUUGA